AGGAGUUGAACUAUCAAAAACUUCAUUCAUUUUCAAACAACAACCUUGCAGUUAUUUCUCUUUUCUUUUUUCCAUAAGGAAAAUGUAUUGUCAUCCUUCUUCUUUUUUCUACAUUUUUUUUUUAUUUUUCUUUUCUUUCUAUUUUUUUGCCAACUUUUGAAGUAUCACAACUAUAAUAAUUCAACCUCACACAACUCUAAAGAACAUUUCUUUCACCCUUUGAAUAGGGUGAUACCAUUUUUUUCACUUUUUAGCUUGUAAUGAGUUUUAAAUAAAGAAUGGGAUAAUAGGCUCAAGGGGUUUUCAAACAAGGGAUGAUAUAUUCAGGGUUGGCUUUUUG
rnacentral:lncRNA from 1 species